UUUUUUUUAAACAAGAAAACUCUGAAAUGAUACCUGGCAAUCACCUUGAUCAGACAUGGGAGGUAACCUGAAAACAUCCAACGUCACCAACAUCCUGUGUUACCCCGGACCCUUGCUGUGCUUGGCGUCUUGGCUGAACAUCACAGGAGCCCCUGAAGGAAGCCUCCCUAUCUCCAUCCUACAGCUGAGGGGACUGAGGCCAUGUGAGUUUCACACCCUGACCCUGUAGACAAGAAGACCCAGGCCAUGUGAGGUUCAACAUCUCAUCCCUACAGACGAGGAGACCUGGACACGUGCGCGUUACAUCUUGUCCAAGAACGUCUAGCCAGUGGGAGAGCUGCGGCCAUAGGAAAGUUCCCACGCAGGUCCUGGAGUCCGUGCCCAGAGAUGAAGCUGGCUGAGGGACUGACUCCUCAUGCCCCACGUGGAAGUCAUGGAAGCGGCCGUGAGCAUAGCCGUUGAUGUGACCGCUUGUAUGUACUCAGCCAUGAAAGGUGAAAUGUGCCAUUUGGAACAAUGUGGAUGAGCCUGGAGAUGAUCAUACGAAGUGAGGUCAGCCAAAGACAAUGUCACAUCACUGCAUGUGGAAUCCAGACGUAUUCUGCGGACACAGGGCGCCAUGUCCUAGCCAAGUUGAGACAUGAAAGGAAACAUUGAAACAGUGCUUUCUGGGAUCUUCUAUUUCUCCGUUUCUCCAAAGACUUCACUUUCUUUAAGCACAAAGUAGAAUGUUCACAUCACAAACUGAUGACCCAGGAGAGAAGCUAUAAGCUGGCUGUUACAGCAAAGGUUUUAAAUAAUUAGAAGGGGCCACCCCCACUCCCCCAGAGCCUGGAGGGUGACACCGCUCGCCUCGUGGGAUCCAACUGCCUCCGUGACCCCGUGCCAUGAGGUCAGCUCCCAUGGGCGUGAGGCUGAUCACACCUUUGCUGGAGGGUCGGAAAGCCUUCCUGGAAGACGCACAGGCAGAAUGAACCCGAAGAAAGCCCUGAAGGUGGAGAGAGCUCCGGGCAGAGAGCAACACAAACCCUGGUUCCCUGGGGGAGAGAAUUCAGACGCAAAGCUGGACAGCUGGACAGCUAGGCUGAAGGCGCUUCUGAAGCUCUACAGAGCUGGGCUGAGGAGGAAAGUCAGAAUUUGCAGAACAGGCUUGGGACCACGGCUAGGCGACUCCAGGCAGAGAUGGGGGGCAGGUCCAGGCCAGGAAGACAGCGCCCCUUGUGGCUGAUGGUGGAAAUUGUCACCUUCCCUCCCACCCCCGACCCCCAGCCUGUCUCCUGGGAUGUCAAGGAGCCUUGCAAACUGCUGUCCUCCCGGAGGGCUCACCUGUGACCAGAGCAUUUGCAGAGCUGCAGGGACUGUGGGUGGUGCUGUCCAUCAGCAUCCUGUCCUUCCAGCCCAGCUCCAGCUGGCACGGAUCAGCCUCGCGUUUCCCAGGGGACUCGGGCGGGGCAGCCAGGGUCCCCAGGAGCCCCCGGGGCAGCCGUCCCCGACCCAGCACUGGCUCCGGCAGACAGAGGCUAUGGCAGUGUCAGUGUCUGGGUUAAACACUGCAAAGCGAUGAUAAUUUCAGGCAACCACAGUGGGCAGCCUGCAUGAAUUACCUCUGUGCUCCAUGCAUGCCUGAUCAGCCAUCUACUCUGAGUGGAGGAAACAUGCAAACAUCUGGCACCGUCCACAACAGGGCUGCCCG
rnacentral:lncRNA from 1 species